rnacentral:lncRNA from 10 species
ACGUAGCAGGCCCCUGUGGAGGAUUAACACAGUGGCUGAACACCGGGAAGGAACUGGCACUUGGAGUCCGGACAUCUGAAACUUGAAUUGACAAGCCGACAUCAGUCUCCAGAGUGAAUCCAAGGAGUGGACCCAAGACAUUUGUGUUCUGUGAUGUGGUGGCAUGUUACCUGUCAUCUCCGAUGCAUAACUCCUAAAGUGCGUCUGGGGCAGUUGUACAGAUUGCAGAGGAUAAUACUCAAGAUGUUCUCCAAGGCCAACUAGUCAUCAGUUUAUUCAUGUUUCUGGGAUUGGAUUCAUGAACUCAUCCUUUGAACUAUUUCAACAAGCUUUUUCAUGUAACUAAUCUGCGGAAGGUAGAAAGGGGAAAACUGUUGGGUGCUAAAAUGACAACUGGUUCAAGGGAAACAAACAAGGAGGAGCACGCCUGGGGAGGUUUUCACAGGCCAGGACUGGAAAUGCACAUUUCUCUUUUCCUCACAUUCCAAGCUCCCAAGAUGGUGGUGGGCCACUUCCAAGAUGGUGGCAAGAGUCGUAUUCUCUGACCUGGGGUUCUUGGUCUCAUGGAUUCCAAGGAAUGGAAUCUUGCGCCAUGUGGAGAAGCGUCAGAUAAUUAGGCAGCAGUCCAACAAUUAGGUUUUGUGGAACUUUUACUAUGUCAUCUAUUUAUUGGAAUUCCCCCUGGAUACCAGGACCCCCUCCAGCAGAGCUUAAAGUUAUAGUUACAGGAAGUACAAAUUCCUUAUGUGGAUCCCUGGAAGUGUGAUGAGAAGAACCACUGUUUCCAAGAUCUAUUUAUUCUAUUUAUCAGGCCUAUAAAAUCAUGUAAUGGCCAUGGCUUCAACUAGACUCC